GAUGAACGCUGGCGGCGUGCCUAAUACAUGCAAGUCGAGCGAACAGAUGAGGAGCUUGCUCCUCUGACGUUAGCGGCGGACGGGUGAGUAACACGUGGAUAACCUUCCUAUAAGACUGGGAUAACUUCGGGAAACCGGAGCUAAUACCGGAUAAUAUAUUGAACCGCAUGGUUCAAUAGUGAAAGACGGUUUUGCUGUCACUUAUAGAUGGAUCCGCGCCGCAUUAGCUAGUUGGUAAGGUAACGGCUUACCAAGGCAACGAUGCGUAGCCGACCUGAGAGGGUGAUCGGCCACACUGGAACUGAGACACGGUCCAGACUCCUACGGGAGGCGGCAGUAGGGAAUCUUCCGCAAUGGGCGAAAGCCUGACGGAGCAACGCCGCGUGAGUGAUGAAGGUCUUCGGAUCGUAAAACUCUGUUAUUAGGGAAGAACAAAUGUGUAAGUAACUAUGCACGUCUUGACGGUACCUAAUCAGAAAGCCACGGCUAACUACGUG
rnacentral:rRNA from 1 species